AUGCAGUCGAGCGAGACCUUCGGGUCUAGCGGCGGACGGGUUAGUAACGCGUGGGAACGUGCCCUUUACUACGGAAUAGUCCCGGGAAACUGGGUUUAAUACCGUAUACGCCCUUCGGGGGAAAGAUUUAUCGGUAAAGGAUCGGCCCGCGUUAGAUUAGAUAGUUGGUGGGGUAAUGGCCUACCAAGUCUACGAUCUAUAGCUGGUUUGAGAGGAUGAUCAGCAACACUGGGACUGAGACACGGCCCAGACUCCUACGGGAGGCAGCAGUGGGGAAUCUUAGACAAUGGGCGCAAGCCUGAUCUAGCCAUGCCGCGUGAGUGACGAAGGCCUUAGGGUCGUAAAGCUCUUUCGCCAGGGAUGAUAAUGACAGUACCUGGUAAAGAAACCCCGGCUAACUCCGUGCCAGCAGCCGCGGUAAU
rnacentral:rRNA from 1 species